UAGGAGACGGAUAUUUUAUAUGUAAGAGCGUAACUUAACAUAGCAUUCUCUCGCUUUUGCAUUCCCUGCAAUACGGAGGUGGAUAUUUUUAAUACGAAAGACCUUGUCUUUUGAAAAUAGGACGAUAUAUAUACAAUUAAUAUAAAAUAAGUUAUUUAUAUAACGGCGUUCCCGUGCAUUAAAUAUAUUUGCACCACUUGACUCGACUUGUUCAAAAUUAAAUUAGCGAUUAUUAUCUCCGAUCGACGGGUAUUUAUUGCAAUCUCGGCGUUUAUUAUUAUUACCAAGAGUUUUACACUUAAAUCGCGUCGCCGUAGUUUAAUUCUAGUCUCAGUUUUUAACUUGGAGGUCUAAUCUUCUCGUUUUUUUCAAUUUGUUUUCUAAAACCCAAAAGAGUAUAACAACGAUAACUCUAGCCCAAAUAGGCCAUGUUAUUUGCUGUUCGAAAUUUUAAAUUUAUAUGAAAGUCCUAACUAUUAAACAGGACUUUUGCUGUUAAUUUCUAUAAAAGUAAUUAAUAUAAACCGGACCUAAAAAUAAAAGAAACACCGAGGUUUUUUAAAUUAAUCUUUAUUUUAUAAACGAGACCGAACAGAAUAUGAGAAAUAAAUAUAAAGAUAAAUCGAGGAUAAAAUUCGUUUAUAUGGCACCUUAUUAAGAUUCUGGACUUACGUAGAGGUUAAGCCCCACCAGAACUGGCGUUCAAAUGGGGAGUAACAAACGUUGCGGGUAGUUAACCUAAACAUGGCGAUCUUUCUGGCCUGGUUCCUGGAACCCGAGAUUAAAUAUUUAAUCCGCCAUAAGCUGGGCUUUUGCUAUACAAAUUAAUUACUGCACACGCUAACACAACUGCGCGGAGCCUCAGCUAACCCUUGAUAACCCUUCUAAUAAAGUGAAAAGCCCGCCGGUUAGCAAAAAGCAACUAUUGUAAGUAAAUAUUUUCAGCACGACAGAAACACUGCUACAACUUAUUGUGAAAACAGUUCAAUUAAUCCGAAUCGUCCGGACGUAAUGGGCAAACCAAUCAAGGCAGCCGAUAAGGCUGCUAAGGGCAAUAAGUUCGGCGGCGAAAUGCCUAAGACGAACAAAGAGGAUAAAGUGAAGAAAAGUAAGAAGGAGGUGUCGAAACUCUCCAAGACCGCUGUAGGAGGCAAGGUAUACUUUACUAAAACUAGCCUAUAUAGUUACGCAACGCAGCACACUAACGUCGCCACUAUAAAAAACGACUUCGUCCGCUAUGGACAUCGACGACGACACGAAUUUGACGACCGAUAAUAAUAACACCAACGACGACAACGUACCUGAGAAUUGUAAAACUGCGGCUAAUGCGGACGAAACCAAGGAAGCGUCGACAAAGGCUGAAAAUGCCCCUAAGCCCACCAUUAAAGCCAAGAUCGACUUGCCCGCCAAACCGCCCAAGCCUACGAAGAAGGGUAAGGCUAAGGCCACGAAAAGCCUUUUAAAUUUAAACGGUCAGAGCGACGGCCAGCCAUUAAACAGCAAAAAGCCCUCCAAAACAAAAAAGGCUACGGUUGCACAGCGGAUGGAGCCGCAUACCAAAAGCCUUCUAAUCGACGCAGAAAAAGGGCAAUACCCGCGACAAAAUGGAAUAUAUUAUCGACUUCGUAUACCAACCAGUCGAUUUUAAAAAUAAAAUAAUAAAUAUAAUUAACCCGUUUAACAAUUGGUAUAUUUUUUGCAAAUAUAAAAUAACGGUAUAAUAAAAAAACGCCCUGUAGCGUUUUAAACUAAUUUUAAUAUUCAAGUUAAAUUAUUUUUAUUUCGCAAAAUAAACCGAGCGUUCCAUAUAUUUUAUUAAUUUGGCUAACAUUCGAUGCUGGUUCCGGCGCGCGGCGCGCCGGCCCUUUAUUAAUUCCCUUAGGGUUUUAAUUCGCGUUUAUUUAUAUUCUAAGCUACUUUCCUACGUUGUUUUACUUGAAAUAAUAGAGUGGAGAUAAAUAUAAAAAUACAAGGUGUAAAAUAUAAGUGGGAAAAAGUAGAAAAGAAAUAAAUAAACGAAAACUAAAAUCCUAAAAAAGAACGAAAAAAAAAAUAAAUAAAAUAGAGGAAAAAAGGAAUACGUUGUUAAAAUAAGGGAAAUUAACGAGCGUGGUUAAUAAUAAAGAAAAAUAGUGAGCGUGGUUAAUAAAGGGAAAUAAAGGAAAAUAAUAAACGUGGUUAACAAAAGAAAAUAAUAAAAUAAAAAUUAAAAUAAAAAUAAAAAUAAAAGGAAAGGAAUAUUAAUUCCGUCGUGGUAAAUCUUUUGCAAUCGAAAUUGCAGCCGUCGUUCUGGACCGCAAUAACGCCAACGAAAUCGACGUAUCCAACCAAUGGGAUGCUACAGGACCUAUUAGCUUUUGCAGCUGUUUAUAGGCCUGCGCAGUGCUUUUUUCCAUAAGGCCUCCGGCACUUAUAAUAAUUGGAUGGAAAAAAGGGUCCAGAAAUUGGUAUUUCCGUCGUUUUUUAUUAACCGCUUCCGUUAAAGUAACGAACGGGUCCGCGUUAGCGGAAUCUUUAUUAAUUGCAACGAUUUAUACGUCGUAAUAAUAUUUAGAAAUUCCGUUAAUAACGGCAAAGUCGGCCCUAAGCCCGUUAGGGUCCCUGCGGGUACCGGAGCGAAUAAGGGUUAUAAUAAGGCUUCCGGGGCCUGCAGGACCGUUGGGGAUAGGGGUAACGCCGUUGCGUUUGUCGUUGGCGUUAACGGUAAGGUUAACGUCGUUAUCGUUACGUUGGUCGUUAUUAUUAACGUUAUU
rnacentral:sRNA from 1 species